rnacentral:misc_RNA from 1 species
GCAGUAUACUACAUAUAUGAUACACAUAGUUUGACAUAGAAGGGAAACAGAGUUGAAUCUAGCAACUAUAGUUGGACAUGAGCUUCCUCACAUGAAAAGAAAUUAAUAGCGAGGCCAUAUUGACUCCAGUUAUCUCUUUCAUUUUAUGUGUGAAAAGUUGUAAGUACCUAAGCAAUACCCAGGAGCAUUAUCAAUAUAAACAAAGGGAAGGGAGAAUAGAAACCAAAAUGUCAAUGCA